CCGGGACUGCUGUGGCGGCGCGCUUGGUGGUGGGAGAUUACCUAGAGUUGUAGGCUUUGCCUGCUAUCUCUUACCCAUGUCUUUUAAGUACCUUCGUUUCCUCGGCGGGUUCGCCCGCCGAUUGGACAAUUUAAACCAUUUGCAGUUGCAAUCAGCGUCUGAAAAAACUUAAUAGUUACAACUUUCAACAACGGAUCUCUUGGUUCUGGCAUCGAUGAAGAACGCAGCGAAAUGCGAUAAGUAGUGUGAAUUGCAGAAUUCAGUGAAUCAUCGAAUCUUUGAACGCACAUUGCGCCCCUUGGUAUUCCAUGGGGCAUGCCUGUUCGAGCGUCAUUUGUACCUUCAAGCUCUGCUUGGUGUUGGGUGUUUGUCUCGCCUCUGCGUGUAGACUCGCCUCAAAACAAUUGGCAGCCGGCGUAUUGAUUUCGGAGCGCAGUACAUCUCGCGCUUUGCACUCAUAACGACGACGUCCAAAAGUACAUUUUUACACUCUUGACCUCGGAUCAGGUAGGGAUACCCGCUGAACUUAA
rnacentral:rRNA from 1 species